AACGAACGCUGGCGGCAUGCCUAACACAUGCAAGUCGAACGGGACCUUCGGGUCUACUGGCGCCCAGGUGCGUAACGCGUGGGAACCCGGCCUUAUGUUCCGGAUUACACCCCGCAAGGGGUGCUAAAACCGGGUAAUGUCCUCGGACCAAAGAUUUAUCGCCCUUGGAUGGGCCCGCGUUGGAUUAGCCUGUUGGUAGGGUAAAAGCCUACCAAGGCGACGCUCCAUAGCUGGGCUGAGAGGAAGAGCAGCCACACUGGGACUGAGACACGGCCCAGACUCCUACGGGAGGCAGCAGUGGGGAAUAUUGGACAAUGGGCGAAAGCCUGAUCCAGCAAGGCCGCGUGAGUGAUGAAGGCCUUAGGGUUGUAAAGCUCUUUUACCCGGGAUGAUAAUGACAGUACCGGGAGAAUAAGCUCCGGCUAACUCCGUG
rnacentral:rRNA from 1 species